AGAGUUGAUUAUGGCUCAGGACGAACGCUGGCGGCGUGCUUAACACAUGCAAGUCGAACGGGGAUCAUAUGGAUGAUAGCUUCGGCAGGAAUCCGAAUGAUUCGAGUGGCGGACGGGUGAGUAACGCGUGAGCAACCUGUCCCAGACAGGGGGAUAACACUUGGAAACAGGUGCUAAUACCGCAUGAGACCACAGUAUCGCAUGGUACAGAAGGUAAAAGGUGCAAACCGGUUUGGGGUGGGCUCGCGUCCGAUUAGAUAGUUGGUGAGGUAACGGCCCACCAAGUCGACGAUCGGUAGCCGACCUGAGAGGGUGAUCGGCCACAUUGGAACUGAGAGACGGUACCAAACUCCGUACGGGAGGCAGCAGGUGGGGAAUUAGUUGGGCAAGUGGGACGAAAGCCCUCGACCCAGCAACGCCGCGUGAGUGAAGAAGGUCGUUUCGGGUUAGUAAAGCUCUGUUAUAGGGGACGAAGGAAGUGACGGUACCCUAUAAGGAAGCCCCGGCUAACUACGUGCCAGCCGCAGC
rnacentral:rRNA from 1 species